ACACCUCAACUCUCACAGCUUGCCUGUGAUGAGCUUGGACUUUGGGGGUCUUGCUGGCCUGUGGUUGGCUCCUCUCAAAUGGAUUAGCUUGCCAGUGUUUGGUGGGAUCACGGGUGUGAUAACUAUCUACGCUUGUGGUUUUCCACCAGGUAACCUUCAGCGAUGGAGGUUCACUGGAGCUUACAAAUGUCUCUCCUCAGUGAAGACAGAUUUUGACC
rnacentral:misc_RNA from 1 species